UUGAUCUCAAAUCAGGUAGGACUACCCGCCGAACUUAAGCAUAUCAAUAAGCGGAGGAAAAGAAACUAACAAGGAUUCCCCUAGUAACUGCGAGUGAAGCGGGAAGAGCUCAAAUUUAAAAUCUGGCGUGCCUCUGGUCGUCCGAGUUGUAGUCUGGAGAAGCGUUUUCCGUGUUGGACCGUGUACAAGUCUCUUGGAACAGGGCGUCAUAGAGGGUGAGAAUCCCGUCUUUGACACGGACUACCAACGCUUUGUGAUGCGCUCUCAAAGAGUCGAGUUGUUUGGGAAUGCAGCUCAAAAUGGGUGGUAAAUUCCAUCUAAAGCUAAAUACAGGCGAGAGACCGAUAGCGAACAAGUACCGU
rnacentral:rRNA from 1 species